rnacentral:rRNA from 1 species
CGGAAGGCAGCAGUGAGGAAUAUUGGUCAAUGGACGAGAGUCUGUACCAGCCAAGUAGCGUGCAGGAAGACGGCCCUAUGGGUUGUAAACUGCUUUUGUACGGGAAUAAAGUGACCUACGUGUAGGUUUUUGCAUGUACCGUAAGAAUAAGGACCGGCUAAUUCCGUGCCAGCAGCCGCGGUAAUACGGAAGGUCCGGGCGUUAUCCGGAUUUAUUGGGUUUAAAGGGAGCGUAGGCCGUGCUUUAAGCGUGUUGGGAAAUGUAGGCGCCCAACGUCUGCACUGCAGCGCGAACUGGAGCACUUGAGUACGCAGGAAGUAGGCGGAAUUCGUCGUGUAGCGGUGAAAUGCUUAGAUAUGACGAAGAACUCCGAUUGGGGAGCCAGCUUACUGUAGCGCCACUGACGCUGAUGCUCGAAAGCGUGGGUAUCGAACAGGAUUAGAUACCCUGGUA